UGAGGAAUAUUGGUCAAUGGGCGAGAGCCUGAACCAGCCAAGUUGCGUGCAGGAUGACGGCCCUAUGGGUUGUAAACUGCUUUUAUGUGGGGAUAAAGUGCGUGACGUGUCAUGCAUUGCAGGUACCACAUGAAUAAGGACCGGCUAAUUCCGUGCCAGCAGCCGCGGUAAUACGGAAGGUCCGGGCGUUAUCCGGAUUUAUUGGGUUUAAAGGGAGCGUAGGCUGUCUAUUAAGCGUGUUGUGAAAUUUACCGGCUCAACCGGUGGCUUGCAGCGCGAACUGGUCGACUUGAGUAUGCAGGAAGUAGGCGGAAUUCAUGGUGUAGCGGUGAAAUGCUUAGAUAUCAUGACGAACUCCGAUUACGCAGGCAUCUUACUGUAGCAUAACUGACGCUGAUGCUCGAAAGUGCGGGUAUCAAACAGG
rnacentral:rRNA from 1 species